CGAGGAGAGUGGGGCUCAAGGCCAGAGCAUGAGAGGAGCAGAAACACAGUUACUGGCGGCGAGUCUUUCAUGAAGGCUAUGGGGCAUGUGGAGAUUCCAGGGGCAUGCAAUCACUGGCACAUUAAACAGCACCUCUGCAGGAAGUGUUUCAUGGGGCAGCUAGAGGGCUGAAAGGCCUGGAAGCCUAUACCAAAGGCAACAUUCUGAUGGUGUGCACAGGAAGAGGAGGAGACUAUCGCUGUGAUGCCGCACACUGAGCCAAAGGGAAAGAGCGCGUCCAAGUGAAAUGUCAGUGAUUGGAGGCAGGUGAUGUCGACAGAAAGGUAU
ensembl:lincRNA Gm29152 predicted gene 29152